CUGCAGCAAGUCGUGCGCGCUGGAGGGGGGGGUGGGAGGACUCAGCCAGCCCCGGCCGGGGCGCACAGCGGGCUGCAGCAACCCGGGGAUUGAACAGUGACACCGGGACUCCUCUGCAGCCGGAGCCGCGGAAGGCACCGGAGCUCCGGAUGCUGGAGGAGCACGCGCACAGACUCCACUCUGUUCCACUCGUGAAGCUGCGGGGACACGCAGUUGCACAGACUCCAGGCCGGGGACAGUCUGUCCCCUGUCCUCUGCUCUGGAGACACGACCCUGUCCCGCAGGUCAGACUCUCCAGGCUCUGAGGAUCUGUCUCCACCUGUGUGUGAGUGUUAAUACGAUUCAAGGCUGAAGAUGCUUCCAAACACGUCCUCACCAAAUAAACAACAACAAAUUCAACUUC